GACGUAGGAUCCGAGCGUUGUCCGGAGUUACUGGGCGUAAAGGGCGCGCAGGCGGUCACGCGCAUCGGCGGUGAAAGCCCCCCGCUCAACGGGGGAGGGUCCGUCGAGAUGGCGUGUCUGGAGGCAGGGAGAGGCCAGUGGAAUUCCGGGUGUAGUGGUGAAAUGCGUAGAGAUCCGGAGGAACACCAGUGGCGAAGGCGGCUGGCUGGACCUGACCUGACGCUGAGGCGCGAAGGCGUGGGGAGCGAACGGGAUUAGAAACCCCAGUAGUCC
rnacentral:rRNA from 1 species